CAGUAGCCGCGGUAAUACGAAGGGUGCAAGCGUUAAUCGGAAUUACUGGGCGUAAAGCGUGCGUAGGCGGUUUGUUAAGUCUGUUGUGAAAUCCCCGGGCUCAACCUGGGAAUGGCAAUGGAUACUGGCAAGCUAGAGUGUGUCAGAGGAUGGUGGAAUUCCCGGUGUAGCGGUGAAAUGCGUAGAGAUCGGGAGGAACAUCAGUGGCGAAGGCGACUAUCUGGGCCAACACUGACACUGAGGCACGAAAGCGUGGGGAGCAAACAGGAUUAGAUACCCCCGUAGUCCCUGUCUCUUAUAC
rnacentral:rRNA from 1 species